rnacentral:rRNA from 1 species
UACACGACCGUACCGCAAACCGACACUGGUGCGCGAGAUGAGUGUUCUCAGGCGCUUGAGAGAACUCGGGAGAAGGAACUCGGCAAAUUGACACCGUAACUUCGGAAGAAGGAGUGCCUUUAGUAGGUGAACCUGUACAAGGGGAGCCCAAUGAGGUUGCAAAAAAUCGGUGGCUGCGACUGUUUAAUAAAAACACAGCACUCUGCAAACACGAAAGUGGACGUAUAGGGUGUGACGCCUGCCCGGUGCUGGAAGAUUAAGUGAUGGGGUGCAAGCUCUUGAUCGAAGUCCCAGUAAACGGCGGCCGUAACAAUAACGGUCCUAAGGUAGCGAAAUUCCUUGUCGGGUAAGUUCCGACCUGCACGAAUGGCGUAACGAUGGCCACACUGUCUCCUCCCGAGACUCAGCGAAGUUGAAAUGUUUGUGAUGAUGCAAUCUCCCCGCGGAAAGACGGAAAGACCCCAUGAACCUUUACUGUAGCUUUGUAUUGGACUUUGAACGGAUCUGUGUAGGAUAGGUGGGAGGCUUUGAAGCAGGGUCGCUAGAUCUUGUGGAGCCAACGUUGAAAUACCACCCUGGUGCGUUUGAGGUUCUAACCUAGGCCCGUUAUCCGGGCCGGGGACAGUGCAUGGUAGGCAGUUUGACUGGGGCGGUCUCCUCCCAAAGCGUAACGGAGGAGUUCGAAGGUACGCUAGUUACGGUCGGACAUCGUGACGAUAGUGCAAUGGCAUAAGCGUGCUUAACUGCGAGACUGACAAGUCGAGCAGAUGCGAAGGCAGGACAUAGUGAUCCGGUGGUUCUGUAUGGAAGGGCCAUCGCUCAACGGAUAAAAGGUACUCUGGGGAUAACAGGCUGAUACCGCCCAAGAGUUCAUAUCGACGGCGGUGUUUGGCACCUCGAUGUCGGCUCAUCUCAUCCUGGGGCUGUAGCCGGUCCCAAGGGUAUGGCUGUUCGCCAUUUAAAGAGGUACGUGAGCUGGGUUUAAAACGUCGUGAGACAGUUUGGUCCCUAUCUUCCGUGGGCGCUGCAGAUUUGAGGAAGCCUGCUCCUAGUACGAGAGGACCGGAGUGGACGCACCUCUGGUGUACCUGUUGUCACGCCAGUGGCAUCGCAGGGUAGCUAAGUGCGGAAGAGAUAACCGCUGAAAGCAUCUAAGCGGGAAACUCGUUUCAAGAUGAGAUCUGCCGGGGCCUUGAGCCCCCUGAAGAGUCGUUCUAGACCAGGACGUUGAUAGGUCAGGUGUGGAAGCGCAGUAAUGCGUUAAGCUAACUGAUACUAAUUGCUCGUGCGGCUUGACC